AUUGAACGCUGGCGGCAUGCUUUACACAUGCAAGUCGAACGGCAGCGCGGGCUUCGGCCUGGCGGCGAGUGGCGAACGGGUGAGUAAUAUAUCGGAACGUACCCAAGAGUGGGGGAUAACGUAGCGAAAGUUACGCUAAUACCGCAUACGAUCUAAGGAUGAAGGCAGGGGACCGCAAGGCCUUGUGCUCCUGGAGCGGCCGAUAUCUGAUUAGCUAGUUGGUGAGGUAAAGGCUCACCAAGGCAACGAUCAGUAGCUGGUCUGAGAGGACGACCAGCCACACUGGAACUGAGACACGGUCCAGACUGCGACGGGAGGCAGCAGUGGGGAAUUUUGGACAAUGGGGGCAACCCUGAUCCAGCAAUGCCGCGUGAGUGAAGAAGGCCUUCGGGUUGUAAAGCUCUUUUGUCAGGGAAGAAAAGGCUGUGGCUAAUAUCCACAGCUGCUGACGGUACCUGAAGAAUAAGCACCGGCUAACUACGUGCCAGCAGCCGCAGUAACAC
rnacentral:rRNA from 1 species